rnacentral:lncRNA from 1 species
AUCAGGUCAGCACUCCUUGCAAAAGACAUUCCAGAGUGCUGUCAUCAGGAGCUUUGUGUGGGGAACACUUCUUUUUUCUGAGAAGUUGAGGAUACACUCAAAGAACUUCCUACCAGCCACAGAAGGACACAUUACCAAGCAACUAUUUCCAUGAAAGGUAAUACAGAAUUCUAGAGGAAGCCUUUGUGACAUCAGGCAAGGGAAAAAGUAAACUCCCUGACUCCCUGAAUGCUGAAAGGGAGAAGGAAAGGAAAACAACUGUGGAAACAUCAAUUUGUAUUAAGGGAAACCUCAUUAUUUGUGGUUCCUAGCUGAUCCUACUGUUCCUGGUCACAGUGCUCCUUAGGGCAGCUUGAAUCUUCCACAGCUCCUGGCAACACUCAGACACUUCAGCUUCUUUUUACCAUCAAUGAAAGUGAGCAGUGAAAGCUUUAAAAAUAAUUGGAAUGAGUUGGAAAGUAUAAGUAAAUGGAGGG